rnacentral:lncRNA from 10 species
AAAGAGGCAUUCCCCUGCACAAGCUCUCUCAUUUUUUGCCUGCCGCCACCCACUUAGGAUGUGACUUGUUCCUCCUUGCCUUCUGCCAUGAUUGUGAAGAUUCCCCAGCCACACAGACCUCUAUCAUCCCUCCUGUUAUAUUUGCAUCUUCUCUGCACACCUCCACCUGUGAUGUCUUCCUAGGACUCUCCAAUGUGUCUGGCCCUGACCAAGCUUUUUGCCCUAAGUGUGGCUUAUCUGCGAUGUCUUUCUCCCUAACAUCCAGUUCCAACCCCUUUGCGGGGUCCAAGGGCUCCUGGAGGAGGAGAUGACUUCUGGGGCACAGCAAACCAAGAUGUGUGCUCCCCAGAGCUGACUUGGAAGCUGUCCGGCCCCUCUGCAUUCACCCCAGCUGCCCAUGUACACCAGGCAGCAGGAGGGACAGCCACUGCAGGCUGCCAGCCUGUCCUUUGCUGUCUGUGUCUGUGUCAAGAGUGAAUGAAGUGAUAAAACCAGGAGAGCAGUGUGCUGUGAAAAAGUUAAAGUUCCUGGUGCUGAUUCCCACCUCCAUCAUUCUACAG